GAGGAAGAGUGGUACUGGGAAGAGAGGAAGAGUGGUACUGGGAAGAGAAGAAGAGUGGUACUGGAAAGAGAGGAAGAGUGGUACUGGAAAGAGUGGUACUGGAAAGAGAAGAAGAGUGGUACUGGAAAGAGUGGUACUGGGAAGAGAAGAAGAGUGGUACUGGAAAGAGAGGAAGAGUGGUACUGGGAAGAGAAGAAGAGUGGUACUGGAAAGAGAGGAAGAGUGGUACUGGGAAGAGAGGAAGAAGUGGUACUGGGAAGAGAGGAAGAGUGGUACUGGGAAGAGAGGAAGAGUGGUACUGGGAAGAGAGGAAGAGUGGUACUGGAAAGAGAGGAAGAGUGGUACUGGAAAGAGAAGAAGAGUGGUACUGGGAAGAGAGGAAGAGUGGUACUGGGAAGAGAGGAAGAGUGGUACUGGGAAGAGUGGUACUGGAAAGAGAGGAAGAGUGGUACUGGAAAGAGUGGUACUGGAAAGAGAGAAGAAGUGGUACUGGGAAGAGAAGAAGAGUGGUACUGGAAAGAGUGGUACUGGGAAGAGAAGAAGAGUGGUACUGGGAAGAGAGGAAGAGUGGUACUGGAAAGAGUGGUACUGGGAAGAGAAGAAGAGUGGUACUGGAAAGAGAAGAAGAGUGGUACUGGAAAGAGAGGAAGAGUGGUACUGGAAAGAGAGGAAGAGUGGUACUGGGAAGAGAGGAAGAGUGGUACUGGGAAGAGAGGAAGAGUGGUACUGGGAAGAGAAGAAGAGUGGUACUGGGAAGAGAAGAAGAGUGGUACUGGGAAGAGAAGAAGAGUGGUACUGGGAAGAGAGGAAGAGUGGUACUGGAAAGAGAGGAAGAGUGGUACUGGGAAGAGAGGAAGAGUGGUACUGGAAAGAGAGGAAGAGUGGUACUGGAAAGAGGAAGAGUGGUACUGGAAAGAGAGGAAGAGUGGUACUGGAAAGAGAGGAAGAGUGGUACUGGGAAGAGAGGAAGAGUGGUACUGGGAAGAGUGGUACUGGGAAGAGAAGAAGAGUGGUACUGGAAAGAGAGGAAGAGUGGUACUGGGAAGAGAAGAAGAGUGGUACUGGAAAGAGAGGAAGAGUGGUACUGGGAAGAGAAGAAGAGUGGUACUGGGAAGAGAGGAAGAGUGGUACUGGAAAGAGAGGAAGAGUGGUACUGGGAAGAGAAGAAGAGUGGUACUGGAAAGAGAAGAAGAGUGGUACUGGAAAGAGAGGAAGAGUGGUACUGGGAAGAGAAGAAGAGUGGUACUGGAAAGAGUGGAAGAGUGGUACUGGAAAGAGAAGAAGAGUGGUACUGGAAAGAGAGGAAGAGUGGUACUGGAAAGAGAGGAAGAGUGGUACUGGAAAGAGAGGAAGAGUGGUACUGGAAAGAGAGGAAGAGUGGUACUGGGAAGAGAAGAAGAGUGGUACUGGGAAGAGAAGAAGAGUGGUACUGGAAAGAGAAGAAGAGUGGUACUGGAAAGAGAGGAAGAGUGGUACUGGGAAGAGAAGAAGAGUGGUACUGGGAAGAGUGGUACUGGGAAGAGAAGAAGAGUGGUACUGGAAAGAGUGGUACUGGGAAGAGAGGAAGAGUGGUACUGGAAAGAGAGGAAGAGUGGUACUGGGAAGAGAAGAAGAGUGGUACUGGGAAGAGUGGUACUGGGAAGAGAAGAAGAGUGGUACUGGAAAGAGAGGAAGAGUGGUACUGGAAAGAGAAGAAGAGUGGUACUGGAAAGAGUGGUACUGGGAAGAGAGGAAGAGUGGUACUGGAAAGAGAGGAAGAGUGGUACUGGAAAGAGAGGAAGAGUGGUACUGGGAAGAGAGGAAGAGUGGUACUGGAAAGAGAAGAAGAGUGGUACUGGGAAGAGAAGAAGAGUGGUACUGGAAAGAGUGGUACUGGGAAGAGAGGAAGAGUGGUACUGGGAAGAGAAGAAGAGUGGUACUGGGAAGAGAAGAAGAGUGGUACUGGGAAGAGAGGAAGAGUGGUACUGGGAAGAGAGGAAGAGUGGUACUGGGAAGAGAGGAAGAGUGGUACUGGGAAGAGUGGUACUGGGAAGAGAGGAAGAGUGGUACUGGGAAGAGAGGAAGAGUGGUACUGGAAAGAGAGGAAGAGUGGUACUGGGAAGAGUGGUACUGGGAAGAGAGGAAGAGUGGUACUGGAAAGAGAAGAAGAGUGGUACUGGGAAGAGAAGAAGAGUGGUACUGGAAAGAGAGGAAGAGUGGUACUGGAAAGAGAAGAAGAGUGGUACUGGAAAGAGAAGAAGAGUGGUACUGGAAAGAGAGGAAGAGUGGUACUGGAAAGAGAGGAAGAGUGGUACUGGAAAGAGAAGAAGAGUGGUACUGGAAAGAGAAGAAGAGUGGUACUGGAAAGAGAAGAAGAGUGGUACUGGAAAGAGAGAGAGUGGUACUGGGAAGAGAGGAAGA
ensembl:lncRNA